GGCGGUGGCAGGGAAGGUUGUCUGCUCCAGAGGCUUCCCUAGAGUGAAGAGCUCUACUAUGUAUGCUUUAUGCGGCAGAAGGAGUGCUUUGGAGGAGUUUUUAAAUUUGUUUUUUUUUUAAAUCUUAUCGGUUUUAAUUGUAGCAAUGAUUCAAGAAACGUUAGUAGGUGCCCAUAACUUCGGUGGUGGAGAUCCAAAAGUGAACAAGACAGUGUUCUGGCUGCUAAAUUCUUCUUAACUGGUUAUGCCUGGAGACCUUCACUUGGUUCUGUGCCAGCACUGCCCAUGAACUUCAUAGACUGUGAUCUUUGCUAAGGCCUAAAUGAAUGAAGUGCAGGUGCAGGACCGGAAGCAGAAGACAGAAAGUGGAGACCAGAUGUUUGAAGCUGGGUAAAGGCAGGGAUGGAGCAGGAACCGAGGAACAAACCUUGGAACUAGGUAAGAAGUUCUCUCUAUGACAUUUCAUUGAGUAGUAAAGGGAGAGCCAAAGCGCUGUGUUAUUGGGACAGCUGUUUGUUGUAUGGUGGGCUGUUUGACUGAAAGGUCAAGUCACAAGGUCAAGUUCACCACAUCUCAGGGCGAUUUCUGCUUUUAUGAACCAGUCUUCACACCAGCAAGAUUCCUUGGCACCUCAAGGUUUGAAGAACAACUACACAACAAAAUUCACUCUAUUCUGGAUGAUGAUGGUCUCCCAACUCAGGUUUAAAGGGCAAUCACUUUCAAAUUAACUGGACAAUCACUCUCACUCUGCCCCAGAGAAUCACUUUUGAAACAUCAAAACACCUAUUUUGGCUCCCUUUUAUGGUACCUUGUCAUUUAAAUCAUACAAAAUGUUACAAAUACA
rnacentral:lncRNA from 1 species